rnacentral:rRNA from 1 species
GAUGAACGCUGGCGGCGUGCUUAACACAUGCAAGUCGAACGAAGCACCUUGAUUUCUUCGGAUUGAUUGGUGACUGAGUGGCGGACGGGUGAGUAACGCGUGGGUAACCUGCCUCACACAGGGGGAUAACAGUUAGAAAUGACUACUAAUACCGCAUAAGACCACAGUACCGCAUGGUACAGUGAUAAAAACUCCGGUGGUGUGAGAUGGACCCGCGUCUGAUUAGCUAGUUGGUGAGGUAACGGCCCACCAAGGCACGAUCAGUAGCCGACCUGAGAGGGUGACCGGCCACAUUGGGACUGAGACACGGCCCAAACUCCUACGGGAGGCAGCAGUGGGGAAUAUUGCACAAUGGGCGAAAGCCUGAUGCAGCGACGCCGCGUGAAGGAUGAAGUAUUUCGGUAUGUAAACUUCUAUCAGCAGGGAAGAAAAUGACGGUACCUGACUAAGAAGCCCCGGCUAACUACGUGCCAGCAGCCGCGGUAAAAC